UGAGGUCUCCAUCCCACAUUCU
rnacentral:piRNA from 1 species